rnacentral:rRNA from 1 species
UACGGAGGAUGCAAGCGUUAUCCGGAUUCAUUGGGUUUAAAGGGUGCGUAGGCGGCCAAUUAAGUCAGUGGUGAAAUCCUGCGGCUCAACCGUAGAACUGCCAUUGAUACUGAUUGGCUUGAAUUCAGUUGAGGUAGGCGGAACGUGCAGUGUAGCGGUGAAAUGCUUAGAUAUUGCACAGAACACCGAUUGCGAAGGCAGCUUACUAAACUGAUAUUGACGCUGAUGCACGAAAGCGUGGGGAGCGAACAGGAUUAGAUACCCUCGUA